rnacentral:tRNA from 1 species
GGGCCCGUAGCUCAGUUGGUAGAGCACUGCAUUUGCACUGCAGAGGUCAGGGGUUCGAGUCCCCUCGGGUCCA